rnacentral:misc_RNA from 1 species
GAAAUGCGAUAAUUAAUGUGAAUUGCAGAAUUCAUUGAAUCAUCGAGUCUUUGAACGCACAUUGCGCCCCCUGGUAUUCCGGGGGGCAUGCCUGUCCGAGCGUCAUUGCUGCCCUCAAGCACGGCUUGUGUGUUGGGCUUCCGUCCCUGGCAACGGGGACGGGCCCAAAAGGCAGUGGCGGCACCAUGUCUGGUCCUCGAGCGUAUGGGGCUUUGUCACCCGCUCCCGUAGGUCCAGCUGGCAGCUAGCCUCGCAACCAAUCUUUUUAACCAGGUUGACCUCGGAUCAGGUAGGGAUACCCGCUGAACUUAAGC